rnacentral:rRNA from 1 species
UCAGCCGCCGCGGUAAAACCAGCACCUCGAGUGGUCAGGAGGUUUAUUGGGCCUAAAGCAUCCGUAGCCGGUUGCAUAAGUUUUCGGUUAAAUCUAUGCGCUUAACGUAUAGGCCGCCGAAAAUACUGUGCAGCUAGGGAGUGGGUGAGGUACACGGUACUCGAUAGGAAGGGGUAAAAUCCUUUGAUCUAUUGAUGACCACCUGUGGCGAAGGCGGUGUACCAGAACACGUUCGACGGUGAGGGAUGAAAGCUGGGGGAGCAAACCGGAUUAGAUACCCAGGUAGUCCCAGCUGUAAACGAUGCAGACUCGGUGAUGCAUUGGCUUGUGGCCAAUGCAGUGCCGCAGGGAAGCCGUUAAGUCUGCCGCCUGGGAAGUACGUACGCAAGUAUGAAACUUAAAGGAAUUGGCGGGGGAGCACA